rnacentral:rRNA from 1 species
UACGUAGGCAGCAAGCGUUGUUCGGAGUUACUGGGCGUAAAGAGUGUGUAGGUGGUUCUCUAAGUUUGGUGUGAAAUCUCCCGGCUCAACUGGGAGGGUGCGCCGAAAACUGGAGGGCUGGAGCGUGGGAGAGGAAAGCGGAAUUCCUGGUGUAGCGGUGAAAUGCGUAGAUAUCAGGAGGAACACCUGCGGUGUAGACGGCUUUCUGGACCACUACUGACACUGAUACACGAAAGCGUGGGUAGCAAACAGG